rnacentral:rRNA from 1 species
UACAGGGGGUGCAAACGUUGCUCGGAAUCAUUGGGCGUAAAGCGCACGUAGGCGGUUCGUUAUGUCGGAUGUGAAAGCCCUUGGCUUAACCGAGGAAGUGCAUCCGAAACUGGCGAGCUAGAGUACUAAAGAGGAUCGCGGAAUUCCCGGUGUAGAGGUGAAAUGCGUAGAUAUCGGGAGGAACACCAGUGGCGAAGGCGAUCACCUGGGGUUGUUCUGACGCUGAGGAGCGAAAGCUAGGGGAGCAAACGGG